GUGGGGAAUAUUGGACAAUGGGCGCAAGCCUGAUCCAGCCAUGCCGCGUGAGUGAUGAAGGCCUUAGGGUUGUAAAGCUCUUUCAGUGGGGACGAUAAUGACGGUACCCACAGAAGAAGCCCCGGCUAACUUCGUGCCAGCAGCCGCGGUAAUACGAAGGGGGCUAGCGUUGUCCGGAUUUACUGGGCGUAAAGCGCACGUAGGCGGAUCGUUAAGUCGGGGGUGAAAUCCUGGAGCCCAACUCCAGAACUGCCUUCGAUACUGGCGAUCUUGAGUCCGGAAGAGGUGAGUGGAACUCCUUGUGUAGAGGUGGAAUUCGUAGAUAUUAGGAAGAACACCAGUGGCGAAGGCGGCUCACUGGUCCGGUACUGACGCUGAGGUGCGAAAGCGUGGGGAGCAAGCAGGAUUAGAAACCCUUGUAGUCC
rnacentral:rRNA from 1 species